UGGAUUGUAUCUCAUUAACCUAUCUCCGUGGAACAAGGCUGCAAUUGCUAAACUCUGCUGGGAUCUGGCUCACAAGAAAGACAGACUGUGGGUAAAAUGGAUUCAUGCUGUUUAUAUGAAGCUGCACCAAUUGGAGAACAUUCCUAUUCCUAGACAAGCUAGUUGGAUGGUUAGAAAGAUCAUAGCAGCAAGAGAUGUGCUGCAACAACAACAAGGCCUUAAUAUGCAAGUAUGCUUCAUUAGACAAAUCUAUCUACUACAGAUUGGUCAACUCCCGAGAGUCCCUUGGAAGAACCUAACUGUUCAGAACUGUAAUAUGCAAGUAUGCUCCAUUUGACAAAUCUAUCUACUACAGAUUGGUCAACUCCCGAGAGUCCCUUGGAAGAACCUAAUUGUUCAAAACUAUGCCAGACCCAAAGCUGUUUUCAACUUAUGGUUAGUACUCCAUAACAGACUUCCAACCAAGGAUAGGCUAACAUAUUGGGGAAUAAAUGUGGACCAGAAAUAUGUGUUGUGCCAAAAUAUUGCAGAAUCCAGAGAUCAUCUGUUCCUUACCUGUCCAUAUUCAACAGACUUAAGGGAGCAAACACUGACUUGGAUUAGAGAAGACCAUCCCAGAAUGAGGACUGGGGCCAGUACCUCCAGUGGAUAGUUAGCAAAGCUAAAGGAAAAUCUUGUAGAGCUAACAUAUUCAAAAUAGUGACUGCUGAACUAUGCUAUGCUUUGUGGCUGGAGAGAAACUCGAGGAUAUUCGAGAAUGCCUUCUGUAGCAGUGAUACUUUACUCAGGGAACUAGCCUAUAUUUGUAAUGUUAGAGGAACUCCUAAAGUUAGACAACAGAUGAAGCAAUUUCUCUUGUAAAUAUAGGUAAGGAUAGUUAUAGAGAUAGUUGCGG
rnacentral:lncRNA from 1 species